CACUGUGGGAACCUGGAACGCCUCCUGGAGACGUGACUCACAGAAGUAUGGGGCCCCCUCUAUGACCGGGUCCCCUGGAGUUUUUAAUUCUCAGAUUUGAUCACCCCGAGCCUCCAGCAAUUCAUCAAUUACGUUUGGGUUUUCCCACCCCAGUACUGGUUCUGGCAGGGAUUCUUGCUCACGGGUUAAUGCUCUGUCUCAGACUCAUCUCGUAAACUCCUGCACACAAGCAAUGGACCUGCCCCAAUGAACUUUUCUCCAUUCUCUGA
rnacentral:lncRNA from 1 species